UAGAGUUGCGGAAGAGUUUGGAUCGGGAAAGAAUGAUCUAAGAUUGAAAGAUGUUGAGCAGAGGGAAAAAUGUGACUGAGCAGGAGGAGGAAGGCAAAUCCAAUGGAGGAUUGUAUUUUUUAUAUAAAUUGUUACCUUGAUAAAGAUGGACUGGAAGUCAGAUCUAUCAAUCAGUUAAAUGGCAAUGGAGGAGUGUUCACAUCAAUUGAAUUCUGCAAAAGAGAUUUCCUUGUGGAGUAUGUCUUUAAAAGGCUGGCAAAAAGGAAGCUGUGGAAAGGGAAAAAUUCCAUAGACAAGAAUGUGGGGUCCUAGCUGGAUUUUUUUCCCCUUUCAGUGGAAAAGCGGAAUGGUAAGUUCUGCAACUAAAAGCAGUGUAUUUUCCUCAUGCCAUUCUGUUAAUGCUGUAGUCAUAGUGCAGAGAAUAUUUUCUAAAAUACAUGUUGGACCCCUAGUUUGGAAUUAAAUAGCUUUUUAAACAAUGCUAAUAAACCAGUAGGGUUUACGUAGUAUUGAGCUGUGCACAGGUAACCACUAUGUUAUAUCACAGGGGUGAUAGCAAGUCUAGGGUAAGCUAAUGCAGUUCCUCAUGAAACAAAGCUGCUAUAAAUGUGUCUCAAACUAAAAGAAGGUACAUUUUAUAUUUUGACUGAUAAAUUUCAUGGAAGCAUUUGGUCUUCCUUGCAUGUGCAUCCCGUACCAGUUUCAGUUGACAUUCAUCAGUUUUAUUGGAUUCCUUAUUUACCUGUGAGACACUUAUACUAAAAGUUUUGGUCAUAAGAAGAUCAGUGUGAUGUCUCUACUUUUCUAUAUUUUUCCUCUUACUCUCCAAAACAGCCGUAUACAAAUGUACACAUCCACAGACUUGUGUACGUUCAACUUUGAAAUUGCGUGGCACUGAUAAACAAAAUAAUAUGGAUGUGCAUAUGUGACACACUAGUGUGUACCACUGGUAAACAGUUGUAUUUUCACUGUAGUGAAAUAAGAGACAUCGAAAAUCUUCCUUCUAAGCUUAUAGGAAUUAACUCAGUAUC